rnacentral:rRNA from 1 species
AUGAACGCUGGCGGCGUGCCUAAUACAUGCAAGUCGCGCGAACAGAUAAGGAGCUUGCUCCUUUGACGUUAGCGGCGGACGGGUGAGUUACACGUGGAUAACCUACCUAUAAGACUGGGAUAACUUCGGGAAACCGGAGCUAAUACCGGAUAACAUAUUGAACCGCAUGGUUCAAUAGUGAAAGGCGGCUUUGCUGUCACUUAUAGAUGGAUCCGCGCCGUAUUAGCUAGUUGGUAAGGUAACGGCUUACCAAGGCAACGAUACGUAGCCGACCUGAGAGGGUGAUCGGCCACACUGGAACUGAGACACGGUCCAGACUCCUACGGGAGGCAGCAGUAGGGAAUCUUCCGCAAUGGGCGAAAGCCUGACGGAGCAACGCCGCGUGAGUGAUGAAGGUCUUCGGAUCGUAAAACUCUGUUAUCAGGGAAGAACAAAUGUGUAAGUAACUGUGCACAUCUUGACGGUACCUGAUCAGAAAGCCACGGCUAACUACGUG